rnacentral:rRNA from 1 species
AUUGAACGCUGGCGGCGUGCUUAACACAUGCAAGUGGAGCGACGAACCAGGCUUCGGCCUGGGGCAAAGCCGCGAACGGGUGAGUAACACGUGGGUAACCUGCCCCGAUGACUGGGACAACCCGGGGAAACCCGGGCUAAUACCGGAUGUGCUUUCACCACAUCAGUGGUGCAAGUAAAGAUAGCUUCGGCCUUCGCAUCGGGAUGGGCCCGCGGCCCAUUAGCUUGUUGGUGAGGUAACGGCUCACCAAGGCCGCGAUGGGUAGCUGGUCUGAGAGGACGAGCAGCACAACUGGGACUGAGACACGGCCCAGACUCCGACGGGAGGGAGCAAUGGGGAAUCUUGCGCAAUGCGCGAAAGCGUGACGCAGCAACGCCGAGGGAGGGAAGAAGGCGUUCGGGUUGUAAACCUCUUUCAGUUGGGACGAAGCCUGGCUGGUGAAUAGCCUGCCCAGGUGACGGUACCUUUACAAGAAGCCCCGGCUAACUACGUGCCAGCAGCCGCCGUAA